rnacentral:rRNA from 1 species
UCUGCCCUGCACUCUGGGACAAGCCCUGGAAACGGGGUCUAAUACCGGAUAAUACUGUUCCCUUCCUGGGGGAUGGUUGAAAGCUCCGGCGGUGCAGGAUGAGCCCGCGGCCUAUCAGCUUGUUGGUGGGGUAAUGGCCUACCAAGGCGACGACGGGUANCCGGCCUGAGAGGGCGACCGGCCACACUGGGACUGAGACACGGCCCAGACUCCUACGGGAGGCAGCAGUGGGGAAUAUUGCACAAUGGGCGAAAGCCUGAUGCAGCGACGCCGCGUGAGGGAUGACGGCCUUCGGGUUGUAAACCUCUUUCAGCAGGGAAGAAGCGAAAGUGACGGUACCUGCAGAAGAAGCGCCGGCUAACUACGUGCCAGCAGCCGCGGUAAUACGUAGGGCGCAAGCGUUGUCCGGAAUUAUUGGGCGUAAAGAGCUCNUAGGCGGUUUGUCACGUCGGGUGUGAAAGCCCGGGGCUUAACCCCGGGUCUGCAUUCGAUACGGGCAGACUAGAGUGUGGUAGGGGAGAUCGGAAUUCCUGGUGUAGCGGUGAAAUGCGCAGAUAUCAGGAGGAACACCGGUGGCGAAGGCGGAUCUCUGGGCCAUUACUGACGCUGAGGAGCGAAAGCGUGGGGAGCGAACAGGAUUAGAUACCCUGGUAGUCCACGCCGUAAACGUUGGGGAACUAGGUGUUGGCGACAUUCCACGUCGUCGGUGCCGCAGCUAACGCAUUAAGUUCCCCGCCUGGGGGAGUACGGCCGCANGCUAAAACUNAAGGAAUUGACGGGGGCC